UGGCUCUGGAGAGCAGCAGCUAUGAUUUAAGCCUUCCUCACUUCCUGCCCCUCUGACCUUCCUGAUGUGCUGCCACCUCCUCUUCGAGGCAUCAGAUCCGGAUGGAUGGGAACUCUGUCCCUACGGUGAUGUGUUUUCCCAGCUGGCCCACUGGGGUGAUGUAUUUGUGACCCAAGUGUUUCCUGGUGGGAAUCUGGGCUGCCGUAGCCAGCACUGUGCUGUGCCAUGGGGCUGAUCAUGCUUGCGCCAGGGGUAGAAGUGCUGGCUUGCUUUCAGUACCCGUGUCUAAGGCACUGGAGGAAGGCUUUGGAGUGACUGAGUUUUUGUUCCGAGCAGAUCAUGCAACAUAGCUCGUUCUGCAUGCACUGGAGAAAUGCCAGAGUUACAUGAGGAGCACUUGUGAACCCGCAGAGAGAAGAUGGGAAGCAAACCUAAUGUCCUGGACGUUCCGUGAUGAACAACUCCUGGGACAGACCUGGGCUCACACAGUGCCUCGUGGCUGCCACCCCAUCCUCCAGCCCUCCCUUAAAUUCCAGUGCCCAUGAGGAAGAAAUAUUUUUGUGCGAUUCCUACCAUGCAACAAUCCAUUUCUCCCACUGCCACAAGUCAUGAGAUAACCUUGGCAGUGGCGUCAGUGACGGGAUCUGCAGGGCUUGAUGCAAGAGCCAAGCCAAAAAAUAAGUGUUAGUAUACAGAGCAUUCAAAAGCUUUAUUGCUUUCUCUGAUGUAGAAAUUGAGAAGCGAAGAUAAACCCAAGUUACAAACCUGGACUCUCAGAUGUUUACUGCUGAUUGUUCCCAUCCAAUUUUUAGAAUCUUGUCCUUUUUUUAGGAUGAGAGGAGAGCAGGCUAGGUCAUUAGCAGUCAGAUUUCUAUCGAUUUCCCCCCUCUUUCCUUCCGUUCAAGUCCUGUAGCUACAGAAUAUUUUAUUUACAUCCUUUUUGAGUGCUCUGGACUAGCAUGGGGGCACGCUCUGAUCGUUUGGUUUAUGGUCCUUGCUGCACAUCCUUCUGCUGUUCUGUUAAGUCCUACUGCAGGGAUGCAGUCUUGCCUGUCUGGCAGCUCGCUUCCUGCUGCGGGGAAUGGGUCCCAAUGGUGCCCCGUCCCAUCUGCAGUGGAGCAGAGCUUUCCCCAGGGCACAGCCACCCCAGAGCAGAGGUAUCUAGCACCAGCAGGGGAACAGACAGUACCAGCUCUGCGUGACGUGGAUCUCUUUAGUUGGUGUGCACCUGCUCUGCCUCCAAUGCUAAUGUCCUCCCCUUGUGAGUAAGCACAAAUAAUCAAAGGUCAGAGGCUGAGCAAGCCAGGCUGGGGAGGGGAAAGUCUUUCAGAGCAUCACCUGCACAGGCAAGGUGUGACUGUGAAAUAAGUUAGCCAGCCCUGUUACCAGCCCAGAAAAGAUCAGGGCAAGGAGCGUUAGCAGCCUAUGCCCAGGAUUAAAUGUUCACAGCAGGUGCUCUAUUUUCAUACAUAAACCUGACAGUUUCCAUAAGAGAGUUGUGCAAGAAAGCAAGACACCAGAUUAUCCACAGGAAGAGGUAAUAGGAGGAACAACUUUGCCUCUUUUCGUUUCAGCCAACCUCAUCCAGCUCUGAGGCACGGGAUAGUAGCAACAAAUGAGAGCUCUUUUUUACAUGCCUCUAAGUUACAGGCUAGGCGCAGGAAAAUGUAGUGUUUAUAAAGCAUUCUUCAGUUGAAAAGCAAUUUAGCAGCAGAAUGCCCUCUCUGGGAAGAUGCUGCAAAGAAAGGAACUGAAAGGCACACCUGGAUCCACUUAGAUGAAAGGUCUUCGUUAGGGAGGCCUAAUUGGGCUGCCAUCGUUAGCCCACCUGUGAAGUGUUGCUGCCAGUAGUUACCAAAGCAGGAGUGAGCUGCUCCUCCCCCGGAGCCUUUUUGGGUGAAGUUUUCUGAAAGCUGAGCUCUGGAGGAAGCUUGAGAACUUGGGAUACCAGGUGAUGGCACUCAAAUAUUUACCCAGCCCUGAAACAGCCUUGCUUCUGUUGCUGGGAGAGCAGUGAUUGGCAGGUGCGAAAAUCAAGACAGCAAACAGCUCUUUUCUGCAUCUCUGAGACAAACCAGGAGCACUCUUCUAUUUAAUAAUAGGGGAAACCCGAGUGAUUUCAAUCACUCAGUCCUUCUCAGGAUCUCUGGAUGACUGCAGCUCCAUCUCUCCUUCCCCUCCAGUUAUGCUCAAAAAAUACACAAGAACAUCACAUUUGCAGGCUGGCAAUUAAUAAAUCCCAUUAUUCAGAAAAUAUGUACAUGCUGUUAGGCUAUGAGCUUGGCUACCAUUUAGCAAUAAAGGAAGUUGUCCAAGGUUGUAUUGUACCCUGCUUGGCAAUUUUAAACAAAAUCUUGUCCAUCUCUUUCAGCUGCUUUUGGCUGGAAAUGGAGAAAUAAAUGUUUUCCAGGGGCAGGGCUACAGCAUCUCUUCAUCUCUGCUCUGAAAGGGAAGAGGCUGCACUUACCUGGGGGAGGAUGUGAUUGUACCUGAACAGAUCAAUGUGUUUUUUUUUUUUUUUUUUCUCAUGAUGAAAUCCAUCAAGCACCCACUUAUUGACAUCUAUUUGAGUGGCCAUCGUUGCUUCUGAUGGCUGAUUCUUGGUGGUACCCCAGCUGUUGCAGGGAGGGUGGUGCCGGAAGAAGAAAUAAGCUGCUGAUGUCUACCUGCAAAAGGGAGUUGUCUCAAGGGGCUGAGGAAAGAAAUUGAAAAACCAGAAGCUCUUUCUUAUUCUGCUCCACUCCACAUGCAGGGAAAAAUCCUCUUCCCUUCAGUGAAAG